AGAGUUUGAUCCUGGCUCAGGACGAACGCUGGCGGCGUGCUUAACACAUGCAAGUCGAACGAGAGGAGAAGGAAGCUUGCUUCUUUCAAAUCUAGUGGCAAACGGGUGAGUAACACGUAAACAACCUGCCUUCAGGAUGGGGACAACAGACGGAAACGACUGCUAAUACCGAAUACGUUCCUUAGGUCGCAUGAUCUUAGGAAGAAAGGGUGGCCUCUACUUGUAAGCUAUCGCCUGAAGAGGGGUUUGCGUCUGAUUAGGUAGUUGGUGAGGUAACGGCCCACCAAGCCGACGAUCAGUAGCCGGUCUGAGAGGAUGAACGGCCACACUGGAACUGAGACACGGUCCAGACUCCUACGGGAGGCAGCAGUGGGGAAUCUUCCGCAAUGGGCGAAAGCCUGACGGAGCAACGCCGCGUGAGUGAUGACGGCCUUCGGGUUGUAAAGCUCUGUGAUCGGGGACGAACGGUCAGCAGACGAAUACUCUGCUGAAGUGACGGUACCCGAAUAGCAAGCCACGGCUAACUACGUGCCAGCAGCCGCGGUAAUACGUAGGUGGCAAGCGUUGUCCGGAAUUAUUGGGCGUAAAGCGCGCGCAGGCGGCUUCUUAAGUCCAUCUUAAAAGUGCGGGGCUUAACCCCGUGAUGGGAUGGAAACUGAGAGGCUGGAGUAUCGGAGAGGAAAGUGGAAUUCCUAGUGUAGCGGUGAAAUGCGUAGAGAUUAGGAAGAACACCGGUGGCGAAGGCGACUUUCUGGACGACAACUGACGCUGAGGCGCGAAAGCGUGGGGAGCAAACAGGAUUAGAUACCCUGGUAGUCCACGCCGUAAACG
rnacentral:rRNA from 1 species